rnacentral:lncRNA from 1 species
UCAUCGGUUAGAGGAGGCCCAAGGUCCCGAAGAGCCUUGAGUUCUCGGAUUUCUUCUUCCAUCUUCUGAGGCUUAUUCAGAUGACGAGUUUCUGCCAGCUCUAGUUUUUGGAUGGUUUUAGUCAAGAUCUUAGCAUCAGCCUUUAGCUCUUUGAUCUUCUCCAUCCUUAUUUCGCUCCUCUGAACCAAAUCAACAUUCAUCUUGACGAUCUC